CUUGCAGAUUACAGAAGAAAAGUGUAAACAUCCUUCGAGCAUCGUUUGAUUAAAUGUUUGUUUAUUUACUGUUUAUUUGUGGAUGACAGACAUUUUACCAAUAAUCGGACUGAGUGUAUUACCGUAAUAGUUUUCGUUUUUACGUUUUUUUUUUCUGAAUACAACACUCUUAUCACACGUAUUCUGGAGCAACUAUAUGCAUGAUCGCUGAUAUUUUAUAAACGAGAAGCUCCUCUUUUCAUUAAAGGUUGUUGCAUAUAUUUUGGCUACUUCAGUAUGGCCGCUCUGACGAGGCAGGACCUUAAUUUUGGCCAAGUUGCUGCUGACAUUCUGUGUGAGUUUUUGGAAGUGGCCAUUCACCUCAUCCUAUAUGUCAGAGAGAUUUAUCCAUCUGGUAUUUUUCAGAAAAGGAAGAAAUACAACGUACCUGUGCAGAUGUCAUGUCAUCCUGAGUUAAACCAGUACAUUCAAGACACACUGCAUUGUGUCAAGCCACUGAUAGAGAAGAAUGAGGCUGAGAAGGUUGUAGUGGUGAUCAUGGAUAAAGAGCACCAUCCAGUGGAGAGAUUUGUGUUUGAGAUCUCACAGCCUCCACUGCUGUCCAUCAGCUCAGAGACUCUGCUGUCUCAUGUGGAGCAGCUGCUGAGAGCGAUGAUCUUAAAAAUCAGCGUAUGUGAUGCUGUUCUAGACAACAAUCCUUCAGGAUGCACAUUCACAGUGCUGGUACACACCAGGGAAGCUGCCACAAGAAACAUGGAGAAAGUUCAGGUCAUCAAGGAUUUUCCAUGGAUUGUAGCAGAUGAGCAGGAAGUUCACAUGGAAGAGGCAAAACUCAUUCCUCUCAAGACGAUGACUUCUGAUAUUCUCAAGAUGCAGCUCUAUGUAGAAGAAAGAACACAGAAAACUUGAUGCUCUGCAAACACAUGAAAGCAUCUGCAGGUGUUUACAACAGGAAGCACCUUUUUUUAAGUUAACAACAGACUUAUUUAUAAGUUACAUUAGGAUAACAUAGCAGAAGUAUAUUGAACUGGACUGUUCAUUUUAUUAACAAACUCAAUGGUCCACUGAGAAAUCAAAUGCAUGGGAUUUUCCAAAGGAAAUUGGGACUGGAUUUUUUUUAAACAUUGACAACAGGAAUGUUUAAAUCAUUGGUAAUAUGAGGAAAGUUCGAGCUGGAUUGUGUCUUAAGAAGUAAGUAACUAUUGUUUUGCCUCUGUUUCAUUUUGAUAGUUUUUUCUCAGUAUUUAUCACUGUGCUGAAAUUGUCCUUGUUUUAAUACAAUUUUAUGACUGCUCCAUAUUAACAAAGUGAGAAUGGAUGUAGUUGGGAAGCACACAAAGAAAGUUCAAAGAUUACACAUUAAAAACAGCUUUUACAUUACAUUAGAUUCAAACUAUGUUCUUUAGACACUAAGCUUUUUGUCAACAUUCUAUUUAAAAGGAUAGGGAUAGAAAUGU